rnacentral:rRNA from 1 species
AUUGAACGCUGGCGGCAUGCCUUACACAUGCAAGUCGAACGGUAACGGGCCUUCGGGUGCCGACGAGUGGCGCACGGGUGAGUAAUACAUCGGAACGUGCCCGAUCGUGGGGGAUAACGAGGCGAAAGCUUUGCUAAUACCGCAUACGAUCUACGGAUGAAAGCAGGGGACCGCAAGGCCUUGCGCGGACGGAGCGGCCGAUGGCAGAUUAGGUAGUUGGUGGGAUAAAAGCUUACCAAGCCGACGAUCUGUAGCUGGUCUGAGAGGAUGAUCAGCCACACUGGGACUGAGACACGGCCCAGACUCCUACGGGAGGCAGCAGUGGGGAAUUUUGGACAAUGGGCGCAAGCCUGAUCCAGCCAUGCCGCGUGCAGGAUGUAGGCCUUCGGGUUGUAAACUGCUUUUGUACGGAACGAAAAGCCUUCUUUUAAUACAGGAGGGUCAUGACGGUACCGUAAGAAUAAGCACCGGCUAACUACGUG